rnacentral:rRNA from 1 species
GAUGAACGCUGGCGGCGUGCCUAAUACAUGCAAGUCGAGCGAACAGACGAGGAGCUUGCUCCUCUGAUGUUAGCGGCGGACGGGUGAGUAACACGUGGAUAACCUACCUAUAAGACUGGGAUAACUUCGGGAAACCGGAGCUAAUACCGGAUAAUAUAUUGAACCGCAUGGUUCAAUAGUGAAAGACGGUCUUGCUGUCACUUAUAGAUGGAUCCGCGCCGCAUUAGCUAGUUGGUAAGGUAACGGCUUACCAAGGCGACGAUGCGUAGCCGACCUGAGAGGGUGAUCGGCCACACUGGAACUGAGACACGGUCCAGACUCCUACGGGAGGCAGCAGUAGGGAAUCUUCCGCAAUGGGCGAAAGCCUGACGGAGCAACGCCGCGUGAGUGAUGAAGGUCUUCGGAUCGUAAAACUCUGUUAUUAGGGAAGAACAAAUGUGUAAGUAACUAUGCACGUCUUGACGGUACCUAAUCAGAAAGCCACGGCUAACUACGUG